GUCUGAGCUUGUGGGCUCACUUUCAGUUCCUUGCAUUUCUAUUCUGUAUUUAUUUGGCAGUGAAAUGAAAAUGUCUAUAGGUAUUGACACCAAAAAUUCUGUCUUUUACUCCCUCGAAGACAAGGCGUGAGAGGUGAUUUAGCUAAUCUGGCCCAUAGCAAAAAACAAAAACGAAAAACCGCUUCAAACCCGGCCUGAUUCUUCCCUUCUUUCCCGAUAAUCUUCCGUUGGCCGCCACCAAAAGGACCACCGCCAAUGCAGCGGCUACACCAACCACCAUUGCACGUUGUUUCAUUCCAUAACCAAUAAAGAACUUCAUAUGUGUACAAUUAAAUUCACCCACCUCUACAAACGCUUCUUUGAUUCUUCUUCAACCGUUAACAUAGCGUCCAACUAUCUUCACAAUCACAUCAAUUCUUUCCUCUCCAACCGUGUCUUAGAUUUCAACACCCUUCUCCAAAUCCACGCAUAUAUCAUAACAACUGGUAACACAAACAACAUCUUCAUAGCGUCAAAGCUGAUAGCGCACUAUGCUUCACUCAACCAGCCCCAUUCUUCCGCCAAAAUCUUUGAUUCCCUCAGUUUCAAAGACCCUUUUCUUUGGAACUCAGUAAUUAAAGCCCAUUUUUCCAAUGGAAGGUAUGCAGAGGCGCUUGAUUUUUUCUCCGAGAUGUGGUUUUGUGACAAGUUACCUAAUCAAUUUACUAUCCCCAUCGUUGUUUCAGCCUGUGCUGAAGUUGGGUUAUUGUGUUUUGGAAUGAGUAUUCAUGGAUUGAUUACAAAAUUAAAUAUUUUUUGUGGAAAUUCAGCUGUUGGGUCUUCAUUUGUGUAUAUGUAUUCUAAAUGUGGGUCUAUGGAGGAUGCGGCUGGUGUGUUUGAUGAGAUUACGAUGAAAGAUGUGGUUGCUUGGACCGCGCUUGUCAUUGGAUAUGUGCAGAAUGGUGAGAGUGAGAAGGCUAUGGAAUGCCUUUCUGAGAUGCAUAGGAUUGGUGGCAAUAGCGAGAGGCUGAAUUUUCGGACAUUGGAAGGUGGCUUCCAAGCCUGUGGGAAUUUGGGUGCAUUGGUAGAAGGCAGAUGCUUGCACGGGUUGGCAGUAAAGUCUGGGAUUGUGUCGUCACAUAUUGUUCAAUCUUCGAUUUUGUCAAUGUAUUCGAAGUGUGAGACAGUUAAGGAUGCCCACCUUUUGUUUGAGGAAAUUGUCGUUAAGGAUCUAUAUUCAUGGACAGCUAUUAUUGAUGUUUAUGCAAAAUUGGGGUAUUUUUAUGAGUGCUUUAAUAUGUUUUUUAAGAUGAAAGCUGAUGGGAUACAUCCGGAUGGGGUGGUAAUCAGUUGUUUGCUUUUAAGUUUUCCUAGUUCCAAGAAGUUGUAUGAAGGGAAGGCGUUUCAUGGUUUUAUCUUGAGGAGAUAUUAUGAAGUCGAUAAGAUUGUUUAUAAUGCAUUGUUGUCUAUGUAUUGUAAUAUUGGAGUCUUGGCUCCAGCUGAAAAGCUCUUUAAUGGAGGAUGUGGUCAGGAUGAGAACUCUUGGAACACGAUGAUUGUUGCCUAUGGCAAGGCAGGAUUAGAGAUGAAGAGCAUAAACUUGUUUCGAGAAAUGCAGCAUCUAGGUAUCAAAGUUGAUUUGAACAGCCUAAUAUCAGUUAUUUCUUCCUGUUCUAAACUGGAAACAAACAAAUUCGGUCGAUCUCUUCAUUGCCACGUUAUUAAACAUUCAGUAUGCAAGAUUGUUUCGGUUGUCAAUGCACUUAUAAUUAUGUAUGGUAAGUGUGGGAAUUUGACCAUAGCAAGGAGGUUAUUUUAUCGGACGAACAAAGAUAUUGCCACAUGGAAUAGUUUGAUUUCAUCUUAUGUUCAUAAUGGACACUCUUCUGAGGCUUUAGCUCUAUUUAACAAAAUGGUUUCUGAAGGCAUCAAGCCUAACAAUACAACACUAUUAAUUUUGCUCUCUGCUUGUGGCCAAAUCGCAUCGGUUAAAAAAGGAAAAGAAAUUCAUGAUUAUAUUAGGGAAGAAGGAUUUGAGUAUAAUAUUGCUGUUGCUACUGCAUUGAUUGAUAUGUAUGCAAAAUGUGGGCAACUCAAAAUUGCAAGAGAAAUCUUUGACUCAAUGAAUGAGAAGGAUGUUAUUUCUUGGAACGUGAUGAUUUCCAGUUACGGAAUGCAUGGAGAUGGAAAAUCUGCAAUGGAGAUUUUCCAACAGAUGGAACAAUCUAAUACUAGGCCUAAUGACCUUACCUUUCUCGCGGCUCUCUCUGCUUGCGCACAUGCUGGAUUUGUUGAAGAAGGCAAGUCUCUCUUUCGUAAAAUAAAAGAAUAUUCUGUGAGACCCACACUGAAGCACUAUACUUGUAUGGUAGAUCUUCUUGGUCGGUCAGGUCGUUUGGCCGAGGCUGAAGCUUUUGCUUUGUCAAUGCCUAUUUCUCCUGAUGGGGGCAUAUGGGGUGCUUUAUUAACUGCUUGCAAAAUGCACAAUAAUACUGAGAUGGGUAUAAGGACUGCCAAGAAUGCUAUUGAGGCUGACCCAGAUAACGAUGGAUAUUACAUAACAAUAUCGGACCUGUAUAGUUCUGUGGGGAUGUGGGCAGAGGUAGAAAAAGUGAGACAAAUCAUGAAGAAAAGGGGGGUGAGAAAGAGAGCUGGUUGGAGUACAAUAUAACAAGGAUACAUCUCAACCGUUCUACUGUUGGAACACAACUUCUGGAUUCUGGAACCUGCUAGACAUAUGCACUAAUGCCUUCCGAUGGCUUUCAGGUAAUAAUUUGAAACUUGGAUCAAGUCCUUAUUUUAAAGCCUACUUUGUAUAGUUUGUAUCAGGCUUUUAGGCAGGCUAUUAUAUUCUACUGGACGAAAAAGGGUUUCUUUUAAGACAUUCUCAGUUAACACUUGAGCUUUUCCACAAACUACAAAUAUCUGAUGUUGCAGUGCCUUUAUAUGUGGGAAUUUUCUAACUGAUGCAAGUUUCAAAAUUUGGGUUAAACUCUAUAAUGCUCGGACUCGGGUACAGGUACGUAUCUAAGUGUAGGAUAUUUUAUUUUCUUAAAUGUAUGAUACGGGGAUAUGACUAAAAAGAGUCCAAAUUUAGGACAUGGGUACGUGGGUAUAUCUUUCAAACUUCAAUUUUUGUACAAAUGCAAGACGUCAUUUUGAAUAAACCAAAAUCAAUUAUUGACUAAGGAAAUAGAUAUUGAGGAAGGAGUUAAGACGAAUAAAAUAUAAUUUUACAAUUUAGUUUUCAAUUAUGGACAUUACUAAAUGUUAUAUAAAAUAGCAAAUAAUGGACAUAAUUGCAAUUUGGACUUAGUAGAGAACUAAGAAACACUAUAUGGAAUCUAUUUUCAUUUUAUACAAACAAAACUCUAAACUACCGAUACAGAGAAUGAAGGAAGGAAAAAAAUAAGAAAGAGAAGGGAAAACUUAAUGCCGCUACCUUUCUCCACCCUUUCGAUGGAGACGCUAGGUGCGUAGAGAGCGGAAAUGGGAAAGAUAAGGAGAAGAAAAAAAGGAAGAAGAAGCGAAAGCAAUGAAGUGUCCGAUUGAAAAUUGGAGGAUCUGACACAUAUCUCAUACCCAUACCCAUGUCGUGUUGUGUCCGACAUGGGUACUCCGACUAUUUUGAAGAGUCCGAGCAUCAGAGGUUAAACUGAAGUCGGGAGAAUUCUGUUGUAAAAUUUCAGUGUAACCAUACAAACUUUAUUUGGAUACUUGAUAUCGGCAAAAAAGUUCUUUAUAUAGAUUAUGAGGGACAGUAAGACAUAUAGAAAAUUUUGGAAAGAACAGGUAUAAUUGAAAAGGAGAGAAAUCCCACACGAAUAUCAAAAGACCAAUGAAUAUAAUUUACAUAGAGGGAAUUGGCUUUAUAUAGGAAAAAUACAUGGGAUGUAAGAAGAGAAAAGUUUCACCCAAGAUUAUGUGUCUGAUCUGUGACAUGGUUAUAGAUUAUACUAUUAUACACACUAAAGGCCAGUUCUGUGGGCGAAUACUGCUGAUGCUACAACUUAAGGCCAAAAAUAGUCUUUUGUGGUUCCAUCAUCUUGCAUGAGGUUUUGAAUCUUCUCCCACCUCUUUACUAGCAAAACAAUCCCAAAUGCAGCAUAAGUUCAUGAUACUUGUAGAUUACUUGUCGUGGAUAAAUAUGUUGAUUCCUGGAUAUAUGGAUGUCAAUAGAGCUUGAUUGUUUCUAGAAUCAUUUAAAUUUGUAGCCUUCUAAGUUUAUUAUCUUACAUUCAGAGGUAAGAUCCUACAUUCACAGUUAAGCUUGAUCAUCCAUGUACACUGAUGGCACACACAGAAACUUGGUAUAAUCCAUGUACUGUCAUAUUAAUGAGUUGAUGAUCUAGCGUUUCAUACAUGAAAAGAUAUUUUCAAUGAGAAGGACGGGACUACUUUGCUUUUUGCUUUUCUUCAGGACAUUUUGCACGAGCAGAAGUACCCGAUUUUACUAUUUGAGAAUUGGGUCACCGCGGCAGAGCUGCAAUCGAAAUAGUGAUUCUUUGGCCAGGUUUUCUUCGUGCCUUCAGAUCCAUUCAUUGGAGAAUGAAUCAUCGCUGCAGGAUUAGUUCGUAAGUUUUGGAAUAAGUUCUUUCAAAAUUGAUGACUUGUUUGGUUCAUAAUCUAGCACUUCAUACUUGUGACACUGUAUAUCUUUUAGAGUUUCUCUUCUAUUUCUGGCAUGUUUGGUUCAUUUUAAUCCCUUAAGCAAUAAAUAACAUGCAUUCAACCUUUAGGUGUUACACAGGUGUUCCUUUUGGGCAUACUUCAUGUCUUGGAUGUUUCUGUAUGUGAAACUCUAACUGAUAUUAAAGAUAAAUGCUAUAUUAUUUUUCUUUUUCGAAUACUUCAUAGUUUCUGCUGUGUUACCAAAAGUUACAGCUUGGCAUCCAAAAUGUACAACUUUUAACAUAGUGAUAACAGUAUAUAUAUUAUCAGCAGACUAUUUUCUCUUCCAGUUUGCAAGAUUCAACCUUGUUCUGGCACCAGAACUCGCUAGUAAACCACACAUCCAGUGGCGGAUCUAGGAGGUGGCGAGCUGGAUCCGCCGGAAGCAAUUUUUUUGGGCUGACAAUAGAUUAAGGUUUUAGUUUAUAUUACUGAUAAUUCUUUCUUCUUUCAAACUUCUCUUCUGGCUGAAAUGGUUAGAGCUUACAUUUAAAUUUUGCAAGAGUCGGCUUCGAAUCCCUUCACAGCCAAUUUAUUGUGCAAAUUUUUUAGUUUUACAAUUUCUACCAAAAUUAAUGCAAUAGAAAAGAGUUGGAUGAAAUUUGAACCAUGAACCCCUAUUCUGAUCAUUGAAAGCCUCACCACUCUAGCAUCCAUUGCUUUUGACACUUGAUUCAACAAAAUAAUAUAUAUUACAUUUAUUGGGUUUAAUAAAAUUAUAAAGAUUCAAAAUCAUGCUCUUCCUUUAAAUUAUAUGAAACUAGACAAUAAUGUCAUUUGGUGAAUAUACAGUUUAUUCUUAUAACAGAAUUAUAUAUGUUCAAUAUGAACAAAAUAAUUGUUAUAUUUAAAUUUUAGGCCUUGUUUUAUUUUCGUUUUGUUUUUUCAAAAUGCAUUUCUAUUUAUCUUAUUUUUAACCAUGCAUUCUUCAAUAAAGUUACGCUCAAAUUCAAAACUUUUUUCCUUAUUUUUAACCUCACGUUCUCCAUGAAAUCACUAUUUAGAAAUGCAUUUUUUGUUUAAAAAAAAAAAAGAUAUCAAACGGGCUCUUAAUACUUUAUUGUAGCUGACGGUCGACAAUCAACGGCCACUCGUGCUGAUUCAAAAUCCUAGAUUCGUCACUGCACACAUCCCAUCUUGCUUCUCUAUUCUCAUCCAUAGCAUUGGUGCCAUUGCAAUUUUGCAAGAGAAUGAAUAUACUUCACAAUUCACGUAUAUCGUCCAAGUCCAACAUCAAUGCAUCAGGCUUACCAUUCUAUUAUGAGUCAUACACCAGCAGGCCAAGUGAGUACUGAGGCUUUCUGUGCUUAACAUGUGAUGACGAACAUGGAAGCUCACAGGGAAAAAGAAUUGAGAAGGUGGGCCUGAACUACAAUGACUUCGCUGCAUACAGUUUCACUGUGCAGUGGAGAAAGUGGUGAUAGAGUAUGCUGAGUGUGUUGGAUAAGGAUCUCGACAAUGUUUAAAUCGAAGAGUUUCAAGGAAGCUAUAGUUAUCUUGUCAGCUCAAGCCCUGGAAAGUUGUGGGAGCUGAUAUGAGACUUUUGUUUCAUAAACCAGGUGAGAAUAUGGCAUCAUUUUCUUGUAGAUUUUAUUGAUUCAUAUGCUUAAAUUUUCGUUGAUGUUUUAUUUAUACUGAUUAAUGAAUUUGGUGCUGUUUUUGGAACAAGAGGGAUGAAUGGAUUGAUACAAAAGAUGUUUUAGAAGUACUGACUAG
rnacentral:lncRNA from 1 species